rnacentral:rRNA from 1 species
CCUACGGGAGGCAGCAGUGGGGGAUAUUGCACAAUGGGGGGAACCCUGAUGCAGCGACGCCGCGUGGGUGAAGAAGCGCCUCGGCGCGUAAAGCCCUGUCAGCAGGGAAGAAAAUGACGGUACCUGAAGAAGAAGCCCCGGCUAACUACGUGCCAGCAGCCGCGGUAAUACGUAGGGGGCAAGCGUUAUCCGGAUUUACUGGGUGGAAAGGGGGCGCAGACGGCGAUGCAAGCCAGGAGUGAAAGCCCGGGGCCCAACCCCGGGACUGCUCUUGGAACUGCGUGGCUGGAGUGCAGGAGGGGCAGGCGGAAUUCCUGGUGUAGCGGUGAAAUGCGUAGAUAUCAGGAGGAACACCGGGGGCGAAGGCGGCCUGCUGGACUGCAACUGACGUUGAGGCCCGAAAGCGUGGGGAGCAAACAGGAUUAGAUACCCCAGUAGUC